rfam:Thielavia terrestris NRRL 8126 chromosome 5, complete sequence.
GGUCCGCUGGCGUAAUGGCAGCGCGUCUGACUACGACCCCAUACUCUGAUAUCCAAGAUAUUCAGAUGGGAGUUGAUCAGGAGGUUCCAGGUUCGACCCCUGGGCGGAUCG